AUUUUAGGUUUUAUUUCUCGGACUGUAACCCCCACUGCCUGAAUUUCUGUCACCAACUCCCAUGGUACAGAAAACACUGGAUAAUGUUCCUUCACAAAGCCACACACAGUAGCUGGAAGUAAACUACCACCCACACCAUUCCCAGGCUGUGAAAGAAACAUACCCUCUCCACUCUUAACCAAUUCCCAGGCUGUGAAAGAAACAUACCCUCUCCACUCUUAACCAAGUUUCCUGAGUAAAGCUGCCACAAAGGAAGAUCAGCAACCCGAGCAUAGAAUGGCCUUAUUACUUCUUCAAUCAAGCAUCCCCAAUCUGCUUUAGGCACUUCUGUCG
rnacentral:lncRNA from 1 species